rnacentral:lncRNA from 1 species
GGAGUGAAUAUGAAAGUUGAAUAAGGAAGCUAUUAUAAAUCAAAUAAAUGAUCUAGGGUUGAGCAAAUUCAUGCUGAAAAGAAGUGAGGGGAAUCUUCUAAAAAUGGAACAUUUGAAGAUAGAAGAGUAGAGGUGGCAGAUUUUUCACCUAAAAAUGUGAGAUCUAGUAAGGAAAUUAAAUCUGGUAAACAUGUAAGUGUAAUACUUUUUGAAAGGCACAUUCAAAUGUUAAGAUGCAAGAUGAUUUGUGUUUGUGUGUAUGUGAUCAGGGUAAGUGGUUGGAAAAGUUAUCAUUUGAAUUAGUUCUUGAAUGACAUAUAUAAUUUAAGCUUGCAAGAUUAAGAAAAUAGUGUUUCAGAUAAUGGUGUAAAUGUUUUGGUAGUACAGGAAGAAAUGCAAUAUGGAUAGAAAAUGCUUGAAGCAUUAUAUGUAAGAGAACUGGUGUGUGACCAUACAGGAGAAAGACUGAAAGGCUGAAC